CCGCGCCGCCUACCUCCCCUGCAUCGCCGGCCACCGCCUCCCUCCCUGCACUAAUGGCCGCCAAAUCCCUCCCCCGCACCAACAGCCGCCGCAUCCCUUCCAUGCACCAACGGCCGCUCCAUCUCUCCCCCGCACCGAUGGCCGUUGUAUCCCUCCCCGUGCAGACGGUUGCUGCAAGCUCCUCCCGCUCAUGGCCGCCGCAACCUCCUCCCGGACGCCAACCUCCACCCCGCCUUCCCCCUCCGUUCUCCCUCACGCUCGGGGGCCGGCCAUCGUUCUUCCACGAGCGCAGCACCUCGAUCCACGGCCGGCCGACCUCCCUCGUCCCGUUUGCUGGACGCCGUCCAUGUCGUAUCAUUUUUUCUGCAAGAAAACCAACUUGGACUUCGUUGACGGCCUUUGCACCAUUUUCAGCGCCAACAGCUCCUUCCUUUGCCAUUGAUACAUCCAUCGUCAUGUACUGAGUGUUCCUUUGCAAGUUCAAUUAGUGUCAUCGCACAAGUUCAGAAGUUUGAUUUUGUGAAGAAGUAUGGAAAUUCUCAGUGCAAAUGUGGAAAACCAGAAAGUUCUAAUAAUGGUGUACCAAAAGUUCAAGGAUAGUAAUCCGGGGACGUGGGAGCAACUGCUGAUGGAGGCGGAGUCAAAAUCUUGUGACUGUCUGCUGCAGAUCUUCAGCAUGGACUUCGAUGAAGACACCUCUGAUGUUAAUGCGCUUCCGCAUUUUAAUAAAGAAGUUACAGAAUUUCAGUUCCUCGGUACUUAUAAGAUCUUCAGACGAUGACAGAGGAUGCCCAUGUGUACUGUGUACAAGCCAUCCAGCAUGUAUUAGGAUACAAUGGAAGAUUGGAUUUGGUUGUUGUUAAUUAGCAGCCACCUAAGCCUAGCAAUUGACCGUGGAGCACGUACUGGAUCCUUGACACGAUGCAAUUAGUCAUCAAUGUCGACGACUAAUUUAUUUUGUUUUGUACAAGUUAAAACAUCAGUGGCCAUAGGGAAGGAGACCUUCUCAGAUCGUGCCCCUGGACAAUGCAACAACGAAUUGGACGCCGUUUCCGCCUCUCUUCCAGCAGUGCCGAUGUCCCCUUCUAGGUCAGCACCAGUUUCCCCGCCUCAUGAUACGGUCUGCAGGUGCUUGUGAGUUGUCUGCUAGGUGUUGUUUAAGUGUCACAGACGACGUGUUGUCUCCUGGCAUCUGGAUUAGCUGUCGACUGCAAAUAAAAGCACGAGGGAGGCUGGAGUGACUGCAGACCGGUGACAAGAACCACUCUUCAGUUCUGCUAUUCGUGUAUUGGAAGUACAUAUCCUCUAUCCAGGUAAGAGGUAGAGGUAAUUUCUCCCCUAAUGCAUGUGUCAUGCGUGCCUUUUUUGGCCACACAAAGUCACUAACUGUCCUCAUUAGUAACUGCAAGUUGAACCACUACGAAGUGGCAUUUGCAGAAAUAUUGUGUUGCUACUUUUCUUAGUUGUAAUCCUGUGAACCAUUUAAUUAAACGGAUUACCAUUCCCUUUCCUAUAUAAAGGAUAUGAUUGAUGUGAUGCAGUAAUUCUUUCAUUUCCAUUACUAGCAAGUAAACAUUUACUAGUUCAUACUGAUGCAUAACUUUAUGCACAUGGUAAUUAAAAAAGAAACCAUUCGGAGAAUAGCAGUCCACGGUAGUCAGCUCCUAUUUCCACUAUAGUGGUUGGGUUGCUGUUUUCCUCAUCCUUCCCGGUGCGCGACAACCCAGCCCACAUAUUGCUGUCGUUCGCACCCCAAAAUAGCUUUGGCUCUUCCUCAAGCAACCAUUUGGAGAACCUUUUGGUGUUUUUUCUGCUGGUGAUUGAUUUUAGCAAUUUGUAGCUAUCUUGCGUAUUGAACCUGAAAGUUCAAGAUUGUUGUAGAUUCAAUUCUUGUAGUACAAAUGUCCCAGAGUUUAGUGACAUCUCUAAUUGAUGUAGUGUGGUCCUGCAUCUCCAAUGUAUGUUGCUCAGCAUCCUCCCAAUCUGCUCAAUAUCGUCCUGCUCCGGAGCAUGCUUCAGUUCAACAAAAAUCUCCAGAAAAUUUCAGAGUACAGAGUACUUUGCAUUUGUGGGCUAAAGUAUAUUUUUUUUUGUAAUUCUACAUCAUAAUCACCUAUAAUAUUAGCUUAUGUCCUCCAUCAUUAUUCUGAUUGCCGUGUAUACUGUACUCCCACCAUCCCCAGGUAGAGAACUGCGUGUUACACUUGCACCCUUCAGAUACAGAUAUUAGUACAUACAGUAUGUGAGGAGCAUGCAGUUUCUUAAUCUAAUAAUGCGCUCCAUUGAGUUAUUCUCCUUAUGCUAUGUUUGUGAUAAUGUGAGGAAGAUCACAGGAAAGUUACUGUGUUGUAUGAGUGUACACACAUUUGUUUGUUCGUGAAUUAAUUACAUGCGUUUCCUAAAAAGAUUUGUUGGCAGUACUUGCUUAUAUGUUGAAGAUUUCUGCUGGAAACGAGUUCAUUAUGUUGCCCCUGGACUUGUAGACGGAGUGUUGGCAAAGACAGCUAUGGAGAGGAAACUGUCGAUGGUGAAGAAUUGGGAGCCAGAAGAGCAAAGCCGACAGCAUGUGGCCCAAACUCUAGCUCAACUGAACUUUGCAUAAAUAAAUCCUCCUCUAUCUAUGGGUGUUUGGCCAAUCUUCUAGUUCAGGGCCUUAACUGAACUUAAUUGGAAAGAUGGUGUGCUGUAGGGCCGAGCAGAAGAUGUCACAAAUGUUGUUGGGUCAUGGCGGAACACCAAGUAGAAGGCGGUCCUUGAUGUGAAGCUCUGAAUGCCAGAGGUCUCGACUCUGAAUCUGGACCUUGCGUAGUUGCCUUUUUUGUGUUAGCUAGAUCAUUACUAGUGCUCAGUAGUACGACAAGUAGUAGUACUGAUCAGUACGACUUACACAAUACUAGUACUGAUCAGUACUAUUUUUAAUGUUAAAAGUAACAUCCAUACAGUAUUGACGAGUCAUACUGACAAGGAUGCUGUCUACAAUUCUAAACUUAUUGUUGACUCGUACUAGUUCUGAUGAAAUGGGAAGCAAGUGUCACAUGAAUCCUCAAUUGAAUGGGAAGGAAGGUUGCAAUGAGACCCUGGGAAAUCACUAUUUAUUUGGUUCUUAGAAAAACAUGGAAACAAUUCUCUGUGUGUUAGAAUAUCAGUCCAUGUGGAGAAGAACAUGUUUCUUAUAUGAAAAAUUAAUACAUUAUUAUCAGUUCAA